GUCUCCUCCUGAGACUCAGCGAAGUUGAAAUGGUUGUGAAGAUGCAAUCUCCCCGCUGCUAGACGGAAAGACCCCGUGAACCUUUACUGUAGCUUUGCAUUGGACUUUGAAGUCACUUGUGUAGGAUAGGUGGGAGGCUAAGAAGCAGACACGCUAGUGACUGUGGAGCCGUCCUUGAAAUACCACCCUGGUGACUUUGAGGUUCUAACCCGGAUCCAUGAACUGGAUCGGGGACCGUGCAUGGUAGGCAGUUUGACUGGGGCGGUCUCCUCCCAAAGAGUAACGGAGGAGUUCGAAGGUUACCUAGGUCCGGUCGGAAAUCGGACUGAUAGUACAAUGGCACAAGGUAGCUUAACUGCGAGACCGACAAGUCGAGCAGGUGCGAAAGCAGGACAUAGUGAUCCGGUGGUUCUGAAUGGAAGGGCCAUCGCUCAACGGAUAAAAGGUACUCCGGGGAUAACAGGCUGAUUCCGCCCAAGAGUUCAUAUCGACGGCGGAGUUUGGCACCUCGAUGUCGGCUCAUCACAUCCUGGGGCUGUAGUCGGUCCCAAGGGUAUGGCUGUUCGCCAUUUAAAGUGGUACGUGAGCUGGGUUUAAAACGUCGUGAGACAGUUUGGUCCCUAUCUGCAGUGGGCGUUGGAAGUUUGACGGGGGCUGCUCCUAGUACGAGAGGACCGGAGUGGACGAACCUCUGGUGUACCGGUUGUGACGCCAGUCGCAUUGCCGGGUAGCUAAGUUCGGAAGAGAUAAACGCUGAAAGCAUCUAAGCGUGAAACUCGCCUGAAGAUGAGACUUCCCUAGGGAUUUAAUCCCUCUAAAGAGACGUUCGAGACCAGGACGUUGAUAGGUCGGGUGUGGAAGAGUGGUAACACUUGCAGCUAACCGAUACUAAUUGCUCGUGAGGCUUGACUCUAU
rnacentral:rRNA from 1 species